CAUCUGCACGCUGCGCCCCAUGACUUGUGGCGUGUGGAUGUCGCAGUUCAGAGUGAGCUGAGACACCGAGAGGAGUCUGCUUUUUAAAUUGAGCGAGGCUGUACCCCGACUCACCAUGCUGGACGUGCGUGCUCUGCUGAUGGCGACUCUGCUGAUGGCGCUGCUUGGCUCCGGCGCUGCGUACGAUGACUUCGGCCCGGUGAUGGUGUCCUCCGCGGAGAAGGCCAGCGGCGCGCUGCUGGUAGUGAUCGCCGGGCUGCUGGCCGCCCUCCGUCUGCUGUGACCCCUGCGGGUGACCUCGGUGACCUCUGCUUGGUCCGGCAGACCUGGCAUUGACUGGCCACGAGUGUAUUGCAAGGAGCUGUGGCAUGCUUAUUCUAUUUGGCAUCAAGGAGGUGUGAAUACAAAACAUAGAUAUUGA